CAGCCGCCGCGGUAAAACCGAGGGUGCAAGCGUUAAUCGGAAUUACUGGGCGUAAAGCGCGCGUAGGUGGUUUGUUAAGUUGGAUGUGAAAUCCCCGGGCUCAACCUGGGAACUGCAUCCAAAACUGGCAAGCUAGAGUAUGGUAGAGGGUGGUGGAAUUUCCUGUGUAGCGGUGAAAUGCGUAGAUAUAGGAAGGAACACCAGUGGCGAAGGCGACCACCUGGACUGAUACUGACACUGAGGUGCGAAAGCGUGGGGAGCAAACAGGAUUAGAUACCCCGGUAGUCCCUGUCUCUUAUAC
rnacentral:rRNA from 1 species